CACGGAGGCCCCAAGCGUUGUUCGGAAUUACUGGGCGUAAAGGGUGCGUAGGCGGCGGGGUAAGUCAGAUGUGAAAGCCCGGGGCUCAACCCCGGAAUUGCAUCCGAUACUGCCUUGCUAGAGGAUUGGAGAGGAGACUGGAAUUCACGGUGUAGCAGUGAAAUGCGUGGAUAUCGUGAGGAAGGCCAAUGGCGAAGGCAGGUCUCUGGACAAUUCCUGACGCUGAGGCACGAAGGCCAGGGGAGCAAAAAGG
rnacentral:rRNA from 1 species